AAAAAGAUAAGCUAAUUUAAGCUAAUAGGUUCAUACCCUGUGAAUGAAAUUUUUCUCUUUUUA
rnacentral:tRNA from 1 species